rnacentral:rRNA from 1 species
ACGAACGCUGGCGGCGUGCCUAACGCAUGCAAGUCGGGCGGGGAUGGUAGCUGAAGGUGAUGAGCUGGGCGCUGCCAUCUUAGCGGCGGGCGGGUGAGUAACUGGAGACCAACCUACCCUCACCACGGGGAUAACAGCUCGAAAGGGCUGCUAAUACCCGAUGGGACCACGUCAUUGCAUGGUGAUGUGGUGAAAGGGUGGACGUAAGGUCUUACCGGCUGGCGAUGGGCUCGCCCCCCAUCGCCACGAUGGGGAGCUGGCCUGAGACGGUGAACAGCCACGCUGGAACUGAGACACGGGCCAGACUCCUACGGGAGGCAGCAAUGGGGAAUAUUGUGCUAUGGGGGAAACCCUGACACAAUCACGCCGCGUGAGCGAAAGAAGGCCUUCGGGUCUUACAGCUCAAUAAUAUAGCAAUAUAAUGACGGUACCAUACUGGAGCGCCAGCUAACUACGUGCCAGCAGCCGCGGUAAUAAUAGGUGGGGAGCGUUGUCCGGAAUUAAUGGGCGUAAAGGGUGAGUAGGCGGCCUGGUAAGUUGAGCAGAAAAUAAAAGGGCUCAAUCCAAAAGGGGCGUUCAUGAGUGACAGGCUAGAGUGAGGGAGGGGAAGGAGGAAUUAACGGUGUAGCGGGGAAAGGAAUAGAUAUAGAUAGGAACACCAGUCGGGAAGGCGGCCGUCUGUACGGAAAUGAACGCUGAGGCAGGAAAGCAGGGGAG